rnacentral:rRNA from 1 species
AGCAGUAGCCGCGGGAAUACGAAGGGGGCUAGCGUUGUUCGGAAUUACUGGGCGCAAAGCGCACGUAGGCGGACUUUUAAGUCAGGGGUGAAAUCCCGGGGCUCAACCUCGGAACUGCCUUUGAUACUGGAAGUCUUGAGUGUGGAAGAGGUAAGUGGAAUUGCGAGUGUAGAGGUGAAAUUCGUAGAUAUUCGCAGGAACACCAGUGGCGAAGGCGGCUUACUGGUCCACAACUGACGCUGAGGUGCGAAAGCGUGGGGAGCAAACAGGAUUAGAUACCCCAGUAGUCCCUGUCUCUUAUAC